CCUUGAGCUUUUAUGAUCCUAGAUGCCUUUGUUCUCUGAUUUCUUAUCCUUUUCCUUUUAUCUUUCAAUUUGCGUUUGUAAAGAAAUGAAUUGUUCUGACUUCAUGGCUGUUCAUCAAUUAAAGGAAAAACUAUCUGUGUUUUCUCUCUGUGCAGAUCUUUCGGUUCAGUAGGUAAGUGCCACACAAACUUUUUGAUAAAGUUAAAUGGACUCAACAUUUUCAUUCGAGAGGAAGCGUAAUAGGAAGGAGAGAUAUGGCAGGAAUGUACGUAACUGAGAAUACUUUGAAGGCCAUCAAGAAAAUUUAUAAAAUCAG
rnacentral:lncRNA from 1 species